rnacentral:rRNA from 1 species
UACAGAGGGCUCAAGCGUUGUUCGGAUUCAUUGGGCGUAAAGGGUGCGUAGGCGGCGCGGUAAGUCGGGUGUGAAAUUUCGGAGCUUAACUCCGAAACUGCAUUCGAUACUGCGGUGCUUGAGGGCUGGAGAGGAGACUGGAAUUCAUGGUGUAGCAGUGAAAUGCGUAGAGAUCAUGAGGAAGACCAGUGGCGAAGGCGGGUCUCUGGACAGUUCCUGACACUGAGGCACGAAGGCCAGGGGAGCAAACGGG